rnacentral:lncRNA from 1 species
UCCUUCUGAGACAUAGACCUUAACUGGUCUCUAUCCGGCGCCAUGUCCACAUUAUACUUGUAUUGCUUCACAAGAGCCUCUCCUAAGUCGUUGAAAGUGCGAAUGCUUGCACUAUCCAACCCCAUAUACCAACAGAGUGCAGCACCAGCCAGGCUAUCCUGGAAGUAGUGAAUAAGUAAUUGAUCAUUGUCGGUUUGAGUUGACAUCUUACGGGCAUACAUCACAAGAUGACUGAGCGGACAAGAGUUCCCCUUAUAUUUUUCAAAGUCAGGCACUUUGAAC